rnacentral:lncRNA from 1 species
CAAUAUGUUGUAAAGAGGUUAGUUGUGUGUCUUAGCCGAAAGACAGGACACAAGUAUGUUUUGUGCUCAUGAGAUAAUUAUUAAAAAGAGACUAAAAAUGUGAAUCAAGUUAUUUUAAUCUUUAACUAUGUCUGAAACUAUUAUUUUUUCAAAUUUGGUCAUAGUUAAGGUGGUCAUGAAUUUUAUGAUAUCUGAUUGACUUGAAAUUUGAUGGUUCCAACGAAAAUCGUUUAGAUGGUUUUAAAUAGUUUGUCGGAUUAAAAUUUGAUUUGAAUAUGAUAAGAUCAUU